AACAAAGAAGUAAAAAUUCCAAUCAAAAGUCUUUCCGAUUCGAUCAGUGACUCAAAGCGGACGUGGUCCCCAAAGUUUGUGGAAAUUGUAGAGAGUUUUAAAGUGACUAUAAGCUGGUUGAAAAAGUUAUUAAUUAUUCGGAAAUUGUUUAAAACCGUGGAGAUUAGUAGGCCCCAGUGCGUGGAAACGAAGAUUUCCCAAAUCUUAGAAAAGAUAAUAGCUGGAGACAAAUCAGCUAAAUUACGAAUCUGCUGCUCGAGGCUCAGGAAUUUUAUCCUUCACGCGAAGGUGUUCCUGCCGGGUUCUAGAACCGGAGGUAGGUGUAGGAGGAUUCGACCAUUCCGGAUCCUCUGGGUGAAUACAGAAGCCUUGGCGGUUUGUAGGUUUUAAGCCUCAUCGUCGGGCCAGUGGUUCAUCAUCGCACCUACGGGCCAGGGAGAACACCACAUCUCCCGAGAAUCGCUUUUCGGUAGCCAACAACCGGACGCAUUCUCCUUUCUCGUUGGCCUCGAGACAGCUGGCAGAUCGACGUCUAAACGAUUUGCACGAGGCAGUGUCGGCGCACACUACCCCACCAAGCGAACCACCCACAGCAUCGCUGGAUGAUCUCCAGUCGACGAGCACCGCCACGUUGGCCAUCGUGCGAAGCACACACCCUACAGCGCGACAUCGUAUCCACUACUACACGGACAGCCAUCGACGCUCCGGCGGCACGAUUCGUUCGCACACGCACACAGCUUAAUCGCCUUCGUCGCACCGGCGGCGAACUCGCUACCCACACCAGGGAUGCCAGAGGAUAUUUUCAUAUGUCUUCACAGUCGUUCAAAAAUGUCUUCAAAUGUCUUCAAAAUUAAAAUAACGAUUAUUAGCGAGAAAUUUCAAAAUCCAAUAGAUUUGUAAA